GACGAACCGUGCGAACGUUGUUCGGAAUCACUGGGCUUAAAGGGCGCGUAGGCGGCUGACAAAGUCCGGGGUGAAAGCCCCCAGCUCAACUGGGGAAGUGCCUCGGAUACUGGUCAGCUCGAGGGAGGUAGGGGCGGAUGGAACUUCCGGUGGAGCGGUGAAAUGCGUUGAUAUCGGAAGGAACGCCGGUGGCGAAAGCGAUCCGCUGGCCCUCUACUGACGCUGAGGCGCGAAAGCCAGGGGAGCAAACGGG
rnacentral:rRNA from 1 species